GCAUCUAUCUCAAUAGACUCGGAGAAGCUCCCUCCGCUUAGCGCCGCCGCCUUUUCAUUCCCGCUGAUCUAAAAGAAUUGGAUAGGUGAGAGCAGGCUGCCCAUUAGGCUUCAGCCUGGCCGUGCUCCUCCAGUGCUUGAUCUCUAACGGGGAUAGGAAUGAGAUGUAGAGGGAAUGAGGAAGUGGAGAAGCUAAUUGUGGAUGACCUGCAGGCAAUCACAUCUAUUCAUAAAAUCUCUAAUGGAACAUUUUUGGCGAAGUUUCCUACGAGAUGAGAUUCGAUUCACAUGCUCGAUAUGAAAAAUACAGGCUUAAAUAAAAAAAAAAAAAAAACACAACCGCUUCAAGUAGUUCUAGUUUAGCACUUGUUACAGUUUUAGUUCCCACAUUUCUUAUGUGUGGUGGCUUUGAAAAAUAGUAACGAUGUGUGGAAGCAAAUGAAAACGGCGAAGAGAGUUUAAAAAAAGAGCAGAGGAGGGAGAGCGAGGAGGAGUAUAGCCUACUACUGUACGGAGUGAGUGAGUGAGUUAAGAGGGAGAGAUAGGGAGAGCGAGACGGAGAGAGAGGGAGCGAGCGAGCGAGAGAGAGAGAGAGAGAGGGUGCAGAUAGCGGGAGGGGAAAACCUCCUCUCUGAAAGGGAUGAUGUCAGUCUCUGCAGCUGAGCCCUGGUCCCCGACGCGAUAGGGUGAAGGCUCUGUCCUCAAGAAACAGGCUGGCAGGCACAUCCAGCAAGAGGGAGGCAGAGGUGAGAGACAUAGAGAGGAGACGCAGGCAGGAGUCUGGUCAAUGAAAUCCUGCAGGUACGUAUCACACGUUAUCAUCCGUCUCUGACUUCAUUCAUUAGUGCCUUUUGUUAGCGCCUGCCAUCCCCGUUUAAAACGCUGCCAGCGGCUCGUUUGUUCAAAGUCAUUAUCAGGUUUUUAGUAUGUGUCACGGCGGAACCUCGGGAGUGUUUCCGUGUUUGUGUGUGUGUGUGUGUGUGUGUGUGUGUGUGUGUGUACACAUCCCAGGUUGUCUGCGUAAAUUUGCGUGGGUGUGUAUAUUUUAGUGGGGGUGUGGAAGGAGCGUGCUCACAGUAGAUGCAUGCGAGUGUGCGCGCGCACACACACACACACACACACACACACACACACACACACACACACACACACACACACACACACACACACACACACACAGAGUGGAAAGUUUUUAAUGAAGAGGGGAAACUGCUGUAUCCAGCCCUCUGGGGAGGAAAACAGCUUCAAUUAUUCAAAUCCAAAUCAGAUGUGGGGUCUCCAGAGCGCAGGGCAUGACAGAGAUUUGAGAUUAGCGUGUAGGGAUUUGGGGCCAAGAUAACCUAUUGACAUGCAUGGGGGUGGGGGGGGGGGGCUCCUUUGUCUGUUGCGUCAUUGUUGUAGAGCUCUUCCUCUGUCUGCAUGCGAGAUUUGACAGGUUUAAAGCGGUGCCUUGUGGGAUGCUGGUGGUCAGACAGGUGACAUCGCUGUGGUGAGUCAUCCUGUAACUGCUGCCACUUACACCUCUGUUUCCCGCUUCGGAUCUCAGGUUUGCCUAUGCACAAGAACUGGUGUCGCUGUCAAACGUCCCCCCAUGGCACAACUUCAUACGCGUGUGUGUGUGUGUGUGUAUUAUGUGGGGAGGAUAGAUUUUCUAUUGUGUUAUUAGCUGAAUGCUACAGGCUGACAGAUAAGAGCACGUGCAGGGUGACUUUCAGCAGGCAACACCUAAAGAUGGCACUCACAGUGUGUGUGUGUGUGUGUGUGUGUGUGUGUGUGUGUGUGUGUGUCUCCUCACCUUUGUCUGUCUGAUGGACCCACAGGCUAUCAGACAAAAUAAAGUGCAGGUCACGGGCGCAUUCCACCAGCAGCCAUCCAUUUACACACUCAGGCUGUUGGCGUGCCACUCAAUUAGUCACAGCGUGGAUUACGCUCCACGAGGGGCUCGGGGAGAGAAUCACACCGGCAAUCUAAUUUUGUGCCACAUCAAAUGUCAGCGUAGAUCCCUCAGAUUCCCUGCGAUAAGCACGGAGACGGCGGCAGCAGAGGCGGAGGGAGGCGCACAGGUGGAGGAGGGGGGGACGACGAAGUUCUAGAGGAGAGAUAAUAAGGGCUGUAUAGGAGCAAAGGGAGCCUCAAAGGGAGGAGAGCAGCGUGGCCAGCAGACGAAAGGUCAGUUUUCACUGUGCUCGGUCCAUGCGCAGUAUGGGGAAAAAAAAAAAAUUCAGUCACGUAUAUGCGCGACUGCGGCGCGUCUGGUUUUCAAAAUGCCACGCUAGAAUGCAUUCGGGUAGAAGCUGUUGGGAGCUCCUUGCGUGUAAUUAGCAGCGGGGGGGGGCGCGCGUCACAGAAACUUUCUCUUAAAAUCACCUGUGCGCGUGCGCGCCCGCGGCUCCGCGGCCGCCGACCGACAGGCUCUGCCUUUGUUUGCACAGCCUCCGCGCGGCGCCGCCACAUUUAUUCCUGUAAACCUGCCACAUCAAACGGCUCCCUGCACCUAUUGUGUGCAGCCCGUUCCCUCGCCGACGGCGGCGGCUAAUGGCUGAGCGGAUAAAGCCUCCGUCGGCAGGCAGGGACCUCGACUUCCUGCCGAGAAGCCGUUAAUUAGCAAAUCCAAAGAGCGCUCGAUUUUAAUUUUUCCUCCUCCGUAUUGCCUCUUCCUCGCUGUGAUUUCACUUUAUCUGUCCGUUUGCUUAGUAAUUCAUUUUGAUGUUACUACUGACCCAGUUCCUUUGACUCCUAUUUCAGGUGCCAGUCUACUGGGAGUCUAGUCUCCCUGCAUAGGUUUCCUCCUGCCAGCGUUCCCAUUUGAGGAUUUUAAAGGGGCUGCAGACUGUGUUUUCACGGUUGUCAGGCAAAAUUGGUUUGAUGUCUUGAUUUCAAAGACUCCUUUGUUCACACCAGUGAAACAUGUUUAUGUUGAAUUAUUCAUACACUUCCACUCUGCUGAACACAAAUAAUUUCUGAUAUUAUCCCAGUGGAUAUUCAUCACCAUCUCACCUCUGUGUGUGUGUGUACAGAGAGGGAAGCUCAGGCACUCCCUCCCUCCCUCCAUCUAUCUAUUUAUCUCUCCUCGAUGGCUGCAGCCUCGCGUUCCCCACAGGGGCGACCCGAGUGGCCGCUCAGCCCGUGUGCCAUUACUGCUGACCAGUAGCCUAUUACUAUCUGCCCCUGAUCUGCUGACCUCCCUGAGAGGCGAGCAACAGAAUGCUCCGCGGCGAAAAGGGGGGAGGGAGCAACGUGUGCAGGAGACAGGAAGAGGGAGGCAACGGGGGAGAGCAGGUGGAAAGCUGCCGGCCGCGGGACCCGGAGGACGCACACAGGUGCACGGAGACCGGAGCGCGCCACGUGGAUCAGGUAAAAAAAAAAAAAAAAAAAAAAAACUCGAGUGGAGGUUUAGAGACGAAGCGGUUCAGCGCCGGAGCCACGCGGAAAUGCGUGGUAGAAAACAAGGUCAAGGCGCGGAGCGGCAUCCGUAGGAGCUCGUGCCGCUGUUGUGUUGGGUCUGACGCGUUAAUUACGGUCGCGCGUGUCACGUGUCACCACAGUUAUCUAUCGCGCAGCCUCGGGGCUCAGCGCUCAUCGCUUAAUCCCUCGCUGGCCAGGAUUCCUGCAGCGUAAUGAACUUAAUCUCAUCUCGGAGAAUGAGCCAUGCAUCAUCUGUCUAAUUAAAUAUUUGACUAAAUUAAUGAUUUUUUGAAUGCACAAUUUUCAAAUCCUCACAAAGCGGAGACUCGGGGAGGGCAAGUAUUUCACAUUUGUGGCACUAAGACGCUCAGUUGCACAUAUUGUAGGUUGAUCCCUUUUAAUUCCGUGUUGACGCUGCCGCUAAUCACAGCGGGAGCACGCAGCCUCAGCGUCACAUCAUCAUCCAUCGCCGCACUCUGACCUCAUCGUCCGCGUGACGCCGCGCGGAUCUGCAAAACGUGAAGCGACGGCGCUCCACGCAGCCGCGGCACGUUUGAUCACGGGACGAGCCGCUUUGAUAUCCCCCUGUUGACUCUCAACAAUACAUCAGUGGCGUCUUUGAAGCGGCACGUCAGCGGAGAGCAACAUGAAAGGCCAAUAGCGAGGUGUUCCCCUGCCAUUAGCAUUUCAUACAGCGCCAGUCAAAGUUUAGUUCUCAUAAUUAGGCCCCUGCAGGAUUUAAUGUGAUCUGUCCGGCUGCUGAUACUGAAGAUGUCAGGCAUGACUGUAGAAAUGCACAACAGCGUAAUUCUGAUGAAUUAGAGGACGACCUGUCCUCAGACCUGUAUUAAGCCAAAGCAAGUGUGAGGUAACACACACACACAUCACAUAAUACACAAAAUAUCUAGAGAUUUAUGAUGGAUUCAUAACAGGAGCAGCCACUAACUUAUGAUAAUGAUAAUUGUGAAUCACAUUUGUAUCACAAUUUGCCAUUUUGGUACCAUCAGUACUUAAUUCAGGUAAUUAAAACACUGUUCUGUCAAAAUACAGUUCAGUAAAAGUAGUGUUAAUUCAUGAGGCACUCUGUAAGAACCGAUGAUCACAUCUGGAUUCUGUGCACUAAUGAUAACUAAUGGGGAUGACAGCUCGUCAUCAGGAAAGCGGCCUAACUGUUAUCGUCCUGUCGCACAUCAGCGCGCGGGCCCUCGCGAAUUCCCGGCCGUCUCCCGCGGAAGAAACGCUGACGCAGACAGUGGAAGCGAACGGCGCAGGUCAGUAAUUCACCGACGGGCGCCGCGCGUCGCUUUAUUUUCAGCUGUCAUCAGUGAGGCCAAAAAAUACGGCGCCGGCGCUCGCUGCCAAACCAGUAUUCCCACUAAAUUAAUUAGAGAAAGUUAUUCUGCGACAACACUGCGGUCUUGUUUUCGCCACACUUCCUCUGAAAGUCUGCCACGGUCUCUCAAGAUGGUGUUAGAAUAAACACAGGGACUAAUGGUUGUUUACUGUGUUUACUGACAGCAGCAGCAUGUUCAUAACAACCCUUGUCAUUAAAAAUAGGCCUCGUGACCAUAACCUCGAGACGCAUUAUGGAGAUGGAGAGUUUUUACUGCAGGCCGCUGGACAUGUUGCAUGUAUGUAGAGAUGUGCUCUAUUAAAAGCAGCCACGAUUCUGCAUUCGGUGUACUGUGUGAACUCCAGUCUGCUUUCUGUCCUCCCUCCUCUGUUGCUGCUUCCUCUCAGGUCUCCCGGCGGUUCAGGGCCGAUGUCGGAGCCCUCCUCCCCCGCCUCCCGUUCACCUCCGUGUACUAUGGCUUUUUAUUCCUAUGUGAUGAUGAACAGCGUUCGUGUAGGAAUUAAAGCCACUAUACACGCGGUGAGAGAGCAGCGCCGGCGUGAGCGGACCCCCCCCCCCCCUCCUCCUCCUCCUCCCUCUCCUCCUCUCCGCCCGAUGCUCGACAGAGACUAACAUAUGGUUGGAUAAAUGCAACUGUCUUUGGAGUGUCUCCCUGUAGUAAAGCUACGUUUGUGCUCGUCUUUCAAAUGACGAGUGCGCCCGUUGAAGUGCCGAUCUGAAGACGGAGAAGCGAAGUCGGCCCUUGUUGUGUGUGUGUGUGUGUGUGUGUGUGCGUGCACCUUUUUUUUUUUUUUUAUUUUAUUUUUCGCCUCCAGGCACAAGCGGCUUCCACUGUUCCCAGUGUUUGAUGCAUGCAGUGACAGCUGCAGUCCGCGGGGAUGGAAGCUGGAACAUUUACAAAAUACGUCGCGAACAAAGGAAGAAGGGAGCAAGUAGAGACCAAUACAGAUCUUUAAUAAUCAACUAUAAAAGAGGCACUUAGUGAACCACUUUACACCUUGCGAGAGGCGCCGCACCUUGCUUUCUUCUCACGCUGAUUCUUUUCUGCACAUUAUUAAAAUAAAACUUUGACAUGACGCAUUACACAAAACAAUAACCUACCUACAAUAUCAUACAAUGAAAGAUACAUACAGUAUAAACAAGAUAAAGCACCUUUGUUGUCUUAGUAAAUACUAUCCAUAAUUAAACAGCUGGAGUUACAGA